rnacentral:rRNA from 1 species
GACGAACGCUGGCGGCGUGCUUAACACAUGCAAGUCGAACGGAAAGGCCCUGCUUUUGUGGGGUGCUCGAGUGGCGAACGGGUGAGUAACACGUGAGUAACCUUCCCUUGACUUUGGGAUAACUUCAGGAAACUGGGGCUAAUACCGGAUAGGAGCUCCUGCUGCAUGGUGGGGGUUGGAAAGUUUCGGCGGUUGGGGAUGGACUCGCGGCUUAUCAGCUUGUUGGUGGGGUAGUGGCUUACCAAGGCUUUGACGGGUAGCCGGCCUGAGAGGGUGACCGACCACAUUGGGACUGAGAUACGGCCCAGACUCCUACGGGAGGCAGCAGUGGGGAAUAUUGCACAAUGGGCGGAAGCCUGAUGCAGCAACGCCGCGUGCGGGAUGACGGCCUUCGGGUUGUAAACCGCUUUCGCCUGUGACGAAGCGUGAGUGACGGUAAUGGGUAAAGAAGCACCGGCUAACUACGUG